CCUACGGGAGGCAGCAGUGAGGAAUAUUGGUCAAUGGGCGAGAGCCUGAACCAGCCAAGUCGCGUGAGGGAGUACUGCCCUAUGGGUUGUAAACCUCUUUUGUCGGGGAGCAAAAGCCGGACGUGUCCGGCUGUGAGAGUACCCGAAGAAAAAGUAUCGGCUAACUCCGUGCCAGCAGCCGCGGUAAUACGGAGGAUGCGAGCGUUAUCCGGAUUUAUUGGGUUUAAAGGGUGCUCAGGCGGAUUUUUAAGUCAGCGGUAAAAUCGUGGGGCUCAACCCCAUCCAGCCGUUGAAACUGGGGAUCUAGAGUGUGCGAGAGGUAUGCGGAAUGCGUGGUGUAGCGGUGAAAUGCAUAGAUAUCACGCAGAACCCCGAUUGCGAAGGCAGCAUACCGGUGCACAACUGACGCUCAGGCACGAAAGCGUGGGUAUCGAACAGGAUUAGAUACCCGGGUAGUC
rnacentral:rRNA from 1 species